rnacentral:rRNA from 1 species
UACAGAGGGUGCGAGCGUUGUCCGGAAUCACUGGGCGUAAAGGGCGCGUAGGCGGUGACUUAAGCGUGUGGUGAAAGCUCGGGGCUCAACCCGAGUCGGCCGUGCGAACUGGGUCACUGGAGCAUGUCAGAGGGCAGGCGGAAUUCCGGGUGUAGCGGUGGAAUGCGUAGAGAUCCGGAAGAACACCGGUGGCGAAGGCGGCCUGCUGGGACAUGGCUGACGCUGAGGCGCGACAGCGUGGGGAGCAAACAGG